UGUGACUUGGUCUAGUUCUAGAUGUUCCUCUGGUUAGUUAGUGUUCAGGCCUAGUUGGAGGGAAAAGAACCCUCUGCAGAAAUAUUCUCCAUAUCAUCUAGGCCUGUCCUGACCGCAGUGGAUCUCUUCUGUGUUUUUUGAAUCCCAUGUUGGACCGAGCCGCUACAAGCUUUGGGCCAUCAGAAGAUGCUGAUGAGAUCUGCAGCGACCAAACCAGAGGAGGAUCGUCUGGACUGCUGACCUUCACAAAGAGUGAGAGCAUGUUCAACACUGUGGACGUCCAAAAGCAAAACUCCUGUGAGGAACCGGGACAUCCAGGAUGGUGAGGAGCUUCCCAGUCCCCACCUGAGGACGGCACAGAGAAAGACUGGAACAGAAAACACACGGAGGAAAGCAGGUUGAACAGCUAGCAGUGUUCUAGCAGUCGGAUCACAUUGGAAC